rnacentral:rRNA from 1 species
GGWUAGAUACCCCACUAUACUUAUAAUAAAACUUUGAUGCCUGAUUAGUAAUAGUUAUAGUCUUUAAACUCAAAGAAUUUGGCGGUGCUUUAGUCUUAUUAGGGGAGCCUGUCUUUUAAACGAUAAACCACGUAAUAUCUUACCUGUUUUGAUAGUUUGUAUACCGUCAUUAAGAUAACCCUURUAGGGUGAGUUAUUAGAAUAAUAUAAUUUAAUAUAUUAGAUCAAGGUGCAGCAUAUAAAUAGGCAAAGAUGGGCUACAAUAAAACUUAUUUAUCACGGAUAGGAUUAAGAAGUAAUUCUUGAAGGAGGACUUAUUAGUAGAAGAAUUUUAAUACGGUAUUUCGAUUUUGGCUCUAAAUCAUGUACAUAUCGUCCGUCGCUAAAA